AUUGAACGCUGGCGGAAUGCUUUACACAUGCAAGUCGAACGGCAGCACGGGGCAACCUGGUGGCGAGUGGCGAACGGGUGAGUAAUACAUCGGAACGUGCCCAAUCGUGGGGAUAACGUAGCGAAAGUUACGCUAAUACCGCAUACGAUCUACGGAUGAAGGCGGGGGAUCGCAAGACCUCGCGCGAAUGGAGCGGCCGAUGUCAGAUUAGGUAGUUGGUGGGGUAAAGGCUCACCAAGCCAACGAUCUGUAGCUGGUCUGAGAGGACGACCAGCCACACUGGAACUGAGACACGGUCCAGACUCCUACGGGAGGCAGCAGUGGGGAAUUUUGGACAAUGGGCGCAAGCCUGAUCCAGCCAUUCCGCGUGCAGGAUGAAGGCCUUCGGGUUGUAAACUGCUUUGUUACGGAACGAAACGGCGAGCUCUAAUACAGUUUGCUAAUGACGGUACCGUAAGAAUAAGACACCGGCUAACUACGUAGCCAGCAGCCGCGGUAAU
rnacentral:rRNA from 1 species